GCUUACGACCAUACCCCGUUGAGAACACGACAUCCCGUCCGAUCUGUCAAGUUAAGCAACGGUGGGCCCAGUUAGUACUUGGAUCGGAGACGGCUUGAGAAUCCUGGGUGUUGUAAGCAUUU
rnacentral:rRNA from 1 species